AAUUGUUAAGCGCCUAGUGAGAAUUGAACUUGAACUCUUGAUGGUGAUCUCCAUUUUUUUUCCAUGGGGAUUCUUGAGCAAUUAUUUCUUUAUAUGGACUUCUGCUCUAAGGAUAUUCUUUGAACAAUGAUAUUUUCAGGCAUAUGCUGUGUGUGUCUCUAGGAGCCUUGACUGUGAAAGAACUUAAGAACUUGGAGAUACGAAUAGAGAAAAGAAUCAGUAGAAUUCGGUCCAAAAAGGAAAUUGAUUUGUACAACAAUAACCAGAUUCUCCGAGCCAAGGUUGAUCUCUCUCACUCUCUCUCUCUCUCCUUUAUCAUCAUUUGCUUUUAUGGGGCAAGUGGUUGUGGGUUCCUGCAAAUGCUGAGAACGAAAGGAAGUAGCAAAACAUGAAUUUGAUGCCAGGAGGCAACUAUGAGAUCAUGCAAUCCCAGCCAUUCGAUAAGAGGAACUAUUUUCAAGUGAAUGCAUUACAACCCACCAAUCAUUGCCACGUCAAGACCAGAUGUCCCUUCAAUUAGUUUCAUAUGCUUCCAGGACAUCUUUAAUCCUAUUUUUCUGUGGAGAGAGUAUCAGGUAUAUAUUUCAGCUGCUGAAAGCUGCAAUUCUGCCCAAAUUUUCUAGCAGAAAUCAACUUUGUCGCCUGAGCAAUGAGCAAUUCAUUUAUCGUGUCUAUCAUUUGUGUUGUGUCAUAUUUCAAUUAGCUGGGAAGUGAAGUUAAAGGAUGAGAAAAUGAUAGCUAAAUAAUUCAUUAUUUAUAUAUAUACGCAAGUGACAAGAGUGGCAGACAACUUUGAAUGUGAAAUGAAUUAAUGAAGUAAAUAAUUGAAAA